rnacentral:rRNA from 1 species
UACAGAGGUGGCAAGCGUUGUUCGGAAUUACUGGGCGUAAAGGGCGCGUAGGCGGCCUUCUAAGUCAGACGUGAAAUCCCCAGGCUUAACUUGGGAACUGCGCCUGAUACUGGGAGGCUUGAGUGCGGGAGAGGGAUGUGGAAUUCCAGGUGUAGCGGUGAAAUGCGUAGAUAUCUGGAGGAACACCGGUGGCGAAGGCGGCAUCCUGGACCGACACGGACGCUGAGGCGCGAAAGCGUGGGGAGCGAACAGG